GAAGGCCUUCGGGUUGUAAACUGCUUUUGUACGGAACGAAACGGUGAGCUCUAAUACAGUUUGCUAAUGACGGUACCGUAAGAAUAAGCACCGGCUAACUACGUGCCAGCAGCCGCGGUAAUACGUAGGGUGCGAGCGUUAAUCGGAAUUACUGGGCGUAAAGCGUGCGCAGGCGGUGAUGUAAGACAGAUGUGAAAUCCCCGGGCUCAACCUGGGACCUGCAUUUGUGACUGCAUCGCUAGAGUACGGUAGAGGGGGAUGGAAUUCCGCGUGUAGCAGUGAAAUGCGUAGAUAUGCGGAGGAACACCGAUGGCGAAGGCAAUCCCCUGGACCUGUACUGACGCUCAUGCACGAAAGCGUGGGGAGCAAACAGGAUUAGAUACCCUGGUAGUCCACGCCCUAAACGAUGUCAACUGGUUGUUGGGUCUUCACUGACUCAGUAACGAAG
rnacentral:rRNA from 1 species